GCCUGAGAGACGGUCUCCCGCUCGUCUGGGCUCACCUCCGCUUGACUCCGUGGGGAGCACGCAUACACGUGGCGGCGCCGCGUUGACUGAAACCUGCUUCGGUGUGUCGCUGCGUGUUUGUGUGACCCCUGCGCACGGCUGUUCCGCUGCUCCAGUUAGCCGUGAAGCUGAUCUGUAUCUGCACUACCCGGGGUCAGAGGUCAGGGGUGAGGGGGUCAAUGUUCCUCACCUCGUGCAUGGCUCCGAACAGCUCCCAGUCGUAGUCGGUGAGCUGACUGGCGAUGUCUUUGGAGCUCAUCUGUUCCAAAGUGUGAAUGCUGCCCUGAUCUGGGCCCUGCUGCUCCUGCAAGGGUGUCUGGGUACAGAGGAACACGUUCUGUGUUAUUCGCCUGCCCCUCUACCUGCCUAUCACACCUCAAACCCCACCCCUCUACCUGCCUAUCACACCUCAAACCCCACCCCUCUACCUGUCUGUCACACCUUAAGCCCUGCCGUCACCACAAACUCCACCUUCCGUCUGUAUAUCACACUUUCAUCCUCAAAACUCACCCCUUCCUUUGUAUAUCUUCACCAUUAUCCAGCAACCCUGUGCUUCUGUCACUUCUGUCACACCUUAAUCCUCAAAACCCUGCCCCUCUGUAUAUCACACCUUUAUUAUGAAACCCCACCCAUCCAUAUGGCUGUCAUUCCUUUAUUUUGCAACCCCGCCCAUAUGGAACGCUGUACUCAUCCUGCCUAUAUGUGUUCUUUUUUAAUUUUAGCGCUCUGCUUCUGGCCAGGGGUGCCUGGGGCCAUAGCACAGUAUGUGCCAGCGCAUUAGACGCUGAGUGAUUGGUUAUGCACCUUGUGCUUCAGAAAAAUAAACAACCACUGAGGCUAAUGGCUGAAAAGCGUUUCAGUAAAGAAAUGACGCUCCAAUUGAUCUGUACGGUACGGCUGUGGCUAAUCCUUCAUGCUGCCUCCGUGUCUUGUGUUUGCCUGUUUUCCCAACCUCUUGGCUGGCCUGUUAUUGAGAAAAGGGUUACAUAAAAACAAGAAAUGC